rnacentral:rRNA from 1 species
AACGAACGCUGGCGGCAGGCCUAACACAUGCAAGUCGAACGAGAAGCCCACCUUCGGGUGGUGGACAGUGGCAGACGGGUGAGUAACGCGUGGGAACGUGCCUUUCGGUUCGGGAUAACCCAGGGAAACUUGGGCUAAUACCGGAUACGCCCUCCGGGGAACGGAUUCAUUGCCGAAACGAAUCGGCCCGCGUCGGAUUAGCUAGUUGGUGGGGU